GACGAACGCUGGCGGCGUGCUUAACACAUGCAAGUCGAACGAUGAAGCUGGAGCUUGCUCCGGUGGAUUAGUGGCGAACGGGUGAGUAACACGUGAGUAAUCUGCCCUUGACUCUGGGAUAACUGCGGGAAACUGUAGCUAAUACCGGAUACGACACCUUCGGGCAUCCGAUGGGUGUGGAAAGAAUUUCGGUCAAGGAUGAACUCGCGGCCUAUCAGAUAGUUGGUGAGGUAAUGGCUCACCAAGGCGACGACGGGUAGCCGGCCUGAGAGGGUGACCGGCCAAACUGGGACUGAGACACGGCCCAGACUCCUACGGGAGGCAGCAGUGGGGAAUAUUGCACAAUGGGCGAAAGCCUGAUGCAGCAACGCCGCGUGAGGGAUGAAGGCCUUCGGGUUGUAAACCUCUUUUAGUUGGGAAGAAGCGAAAGUGACGGUACCAACAGAAAAAGCACCGGCUAACUACGUGCCAGCAGCCGCCGUAACAC
rnacentral:rRNA from 1 species